CACAGCAUUAAAAUGUUAAAAUCAAAAGGGUUUGGGCACUGAGGUUAAUUCAACUGCUAAACCUUUUGUUACCCCAUCCGCUGAAAUGUCAUUACUUGUACUUCCCAGAGCUCGGGGCACAGUAACCUGCAUGGUUUAGAAGGGAAAACUGAGGCACUGAAGCAACUGGCAGAGUGAGGCAGUGACUCGGUGGCAAAGCUGGAACUGAAACUUCCUGGGAGGACGAUGGCAAAAGCAGCCCAAGCCGUCGCAGUAGUGUCUCACGGCGAGCGAGCGGCUCGGUGGAGGAGCUCCUUACCGAGUCCUCCUGUCAGCCGGGCAUGUCGCCAGCAGUACGGGAGGGUCUGGCUGGUGCUUAUCUCUGCCUUGUUUCUUGUGGAGGCUGAACCUCUGCAGAAGUCUGAAGAUGAGAUUUUUAUAUUACUGGGCAGGAGCUGUGCUUUUUCUCAUUUGCAUAGUCUACGAUUAAGGCACGUGUCCAGCCUGCUGUUCCUUGGCCUUCCGAAGCUCUAACGUUUAAAAAUGGCAAUUUUUAGUCUACCGGAAAAAAAGUAGUGCUUUACAGUAACACUGGCUGAAACCAAAGAAGAAGACAGGCUAAUUGAAUUAACUCAAGGAGAGGCGCUCGCCAGCCUGCGGCGCUUUAGUGCAGAGAGACACGGUGCCAACCUGCCGGGCUAGAGCUGUGUCCUGGCAGAAACUUUCUCUUGAGUCCUCUGGCCACGGUUGCGUAGGUCCUAAAGACACGGUGAUACGGAGUGGUUGCAGUUCCCU
rnacentral:lncRNA from 1 species